UAUGGUUUUUACUACCUCUGUUUGUUUUUACUCAUUUAAAUGAAUGUGUUUUGACAGCCUGCUACAAGCGCCGCUUGGAAAAACAAGGCUUUCCCGAGAGUGUGGUGUCUACAUUAAUGAAAAGAAUGAACCACUAUGUCGGCGAGAAGAUUGCCGACAUUGAUAAAACAGCCAAAAGGUAUACUGAUUAGAACAUUUUUCUUGCAUUCAUGUUUUGUUGCUUGAACCUUAAAAUUAAAUUUGUGGUUUACAGCUAACUCUCGUAAACAUGGGUGGAUUAAUGAAUAUUAGAGUUGAGGUGCCUGUUUAUCCAAUUCCAGCUUGCCAAUGUUGCCAGCUUUUGAUGGCAACAGGUAUUUCAGAAGUCUAUACACAAUGCUGUCUUUUUUAUCAAUUUCUGCAGGUUGUGGCGUGACUAGAACAGAAAA
rnacentral:lncRNA from 1 species